rnacentral:lncRNA from 1 species
CUGGUCACAGGGUUGCAGCCCAGUACCCAGGGAAGAGGGAUCCAGGAUCAAAUAGAUAGGACAACCGCUGGGGGAGGGGCCGGCCCCACCGGAGGAAAUGAAAAUAGUUGCAGUUUCAUUUGCUUUAAAGCACAGCCCUUGUAAUAAAUGCGCACAGCAAAUGUGCUGAGCAAACACCUCGGCAUUCAUCACUAUGCGGGGGCUGUUUACUGCCUCAUAAACUUGGAAGCAAGUGAUAUUGUCUCCUAAAUCAAUGGCUGCGCGGACAGCCUUGGCGCUCCAGGAGAACAGCACGGCCAGGCCGCGCCCGUGCUGAAAUUAAUGACUGGAGCAGUGACUGGAAGGUGCUUAGUCACUGCCGAGGGGAUUAGGAGCCAUUCCAGGGGACGAGCAGCCAGCCGAUGCUGAUGAGUCGGGGGCCGGAUGCCCCAACCAGAGCUCUGUGAUUAACCAGCUGAGUAAGCCUGCUUGGACCCCCAGAUCAGAAAGAGUCCAUCUCCCUGAGCUUACCACAGUAUGCACUGACCUAUGAUGGCACAGAUUUCUCUAAACAUGCUGUGCAGGUCAUCCAGCAAUGGAGAAUAUAGAAAACUUCCAGAGAUAGAGAAGCCCUUCUGCUUCCAGCCCCCUGAUAAGGUAUAAGAGAGACAGAUUUUUAAUAAUGUAUAUCCAAAUAGGAGAGAAAAAGAUUCUGAAACUCUAACCUUGAGACGACUCUAACCCUACAUAUGAUAUAUGACCAGCAGCCACAUGUUUUCCAUCAUUUUAAAAUAGACUUUUAUGUAUUUUAGAAAUGUUUUCCAUAAGCAUGUAUUUCUUCAACAAUCACAAAACAUUAA